rnacentral:rRNA from 1 species
UACAGAGGUCUCAAGCGUUGUUCGGAUUCAUUGGGCGUAAAGGGUGCGUAGGUGGCGCUGUAAGUCAGGUGUGAAAUUUCGGAGCUUAACUCCGAAACUGCAUUUGAUACUGCGGUGCUCGAGGACUGGAGAGGAGACUGGAAUUUACGGUGUAGCAGUGAAAUGCGUAGAGAUCGUAAGGAAGACCAGUGGCGAAGGCGGGUCUCUGGACAGUUCCUGACGCUGAGGCACGAAGGCCAGGGGAGCAAACAGG